CGGGGGGGGGGUGAAGAGUGUUUUAGAAUUGAUGAUGAAAGAGAGGGAGGAAUGAAUGAGGUGGGCAUACGUAUUGAAGAGCUGACAAAGAGCAAUUUAAGGGGAGGGGCGGGAUGGCCGGUGAGGGAGAAGGUGAAAAUUAUGAUGUUGAGGUUAAUUGAGUAAAGAAUGGAAGGCGAGAGAUAAAGAUAAUGGUUAGGAGAGUUUGAUGAGGGUUUUAAGGAUGAAGGAAUGGAAGUCGUAAAAGUUAAUGGGUACAAAAGAAAGAUAAAGAUAAAGAAAGUAAUGGUUAGGAAAGUAUACGGAGAUCUUUUUAAGGGGAUGGUACGAAAGAGAAGGUAAUGGAUAGGAAAGUUUGAUGAGGGUUUUAAGGGUGAAGGAUGAAGGAAUGGAGGUCGUAAAAGUUAAUGGGUACAAAAGAAAGAUAAAGAUAAAGAAAGUAAUGGUUAGGAAAGUAUACAGAGAUCUUUUAAAGGGGAAGGUACGGAUAAAAAGAAGGUAAUGGAUAGGAAAGUUUGAUGAGGUUUUUAAAGGGGAAGAGUGGAGGAAAUUGAAGUAGUAAAAGUUAAUGGGUACAAAAGAAAGUAAUGGUUAGGAAAGUAUACAGAGAUCUUUUUAGGGGAAGGUACGGAAAAGAAGGUAAUGGAUAGGAAAGUCUGAUGAGGUUUUCAAGAUAGGAAGAAUGGAAGAAAUGAUAGUGAUUAAAGGGUAUUCGAUGCAGAAGGAAAGGCGAAGGUAAAGAAAUCAAUCGUAAUGAAAAAUAAAGACCUUGAAUGGGGAGGGGGAAGGAAAAAUAAGUUAUUGUAAGGCAUGUAAGGGGAAAGUUGGAGGAAAAUAGGGAGGUAAAAGUUUAUGGAUACAAAAGAAACACAAAUAAGAAAGUAAUGACUAGGAAAGUAUGUUAAGACUAGUCAGCGGGAACAUUAAAAACUUACUAUUAUUGACUGACAGAGCAUAUAGGAGGAAGAGGAGGGGAGGAGGAGAAGGGGAAGGGACAGCAGGUUGUUACAUAUAGAAAGGAUGUAGGGAGGAACAGGUGGAGGGGAAGAGGAGGGGAAGAGGAAGGAAGGGAGGGAGGGACAGCAGGUUACUAUACAGGGAAGGGACAUAACUCUGGACAAGACCUGUAUUGAUUAUGCGUUCAGGUAGUCUCUUCCCAUUUUCUUUUUUGUGUCCAGCGAAGGUUAACUCGUGUAUUUAUAACGCGUCCACAAAUUGUUUUCUACCGAGGGUCUAUUUUCAGCUCCUUUCAUUAUGUCUUUCUCCACGUGUACAAGGACAUAAGAAGAGCGGAUAUUUUUGUCUCCGUAUUAAUUUCUCUCUCAAGGGGGUCUCUCUCCUCUCUCUGUAAAUAAUCUAUCAGUGUCCUCCUAUGUUAAAUCGAUAUCACGUUGACAUUCAAGGAGGAACUGAACCAAAUAUCACCUAACCUGUUCUUACUAAGUUAUUUUUUUUUUUUAAUUUCCCUUAAAACUCAGACUGUCGCAUUUUCUCAUGUUUCUUUUAUCUUCCUUUAUCAUUAUUCGUCUUCUUAUCUACCUUUCGUUUCUUUCCUCCUCCUUCUACACCUCUUUUUAAUGCUCUUUUUCCUCCACUUCCUCUCCCUCUUCUAAUUCCUUCUUUUCUUCUCUUUUUCUUUCUCUUUUUCCUCUUACUCUUCUCCCUCCUCUCUACUUUCCUCCUUCUACUCCUACUCUUAAUACUCCUUUUCUUUUUCUCCUUCUCUUUCUCUUCCACACCUUUACCUGUCUACCUCUAAUGAGACCUCUAUUGUUUGUUAAUCCUCCAUACUCGCCUAUAUUUUCCUUUCAUUUAAACUCCUCAUAACAUAUUUUUUCCUCAUCCUUAAAUCUAUCUACCCGCCCUUCUAGCUCUCUUCCACACCUUUACCUGUCCACCUUUAACGAGACAUCUUCUUAAGCUCCUCUUAUUGUUUGUUCCUCCUCCAUACUCGCCUAUAUUUUCCUUUCAUUUGAACCCCUCAUAACAUUUUUUUCCUCAUCCUGAAAUCUAUCUACUCGCCCUUCUAGCUCUCUUCCUACCUGGUGCCUCUCUUCUUACGAGGACGAGACCUUCACCUCAUCCUCUCUGUCUAUCCUCCACUACCGCUCAUGCUCUGUGACAUUUAAACUCAUCAUACCACACGUCAUACUAAUUGACCUCCUUACCUGCCCGUCACCUGGUUUCUCUUUUACUCAUCUACUUGCCUGCCUACCUACAUAUCCACCUUAUCAAUCUUGCUUCUUACUUCUCUACCUACCUUCCUUUUUUGCCUAUACCAACCGACUUACUUACCUAAUCUAACCUAACUCGCCUACCUACUUACCUACUUGUCUGCCUAUCUAUGAACUUGAUUACCUACUUCUACCUACUUGCUUACCUAACCUAACCAAACUUAACCUAACCUAACCUAACCUAACCUAACCUAUUCUACUUACUUGCCUAACCUGACCCAACCUAACCUAACCUAACCUAACCUGACCUAACUUACUCUACUUACCUAUUUACCUAACCCUAACCUAACCUAACCUAACCUGACCUAACUUACUCUACUUACCUACCUAACCUAACCUAACCGAACCUAACCUAACCUAACCUAGCCUGACCUAACCUACUCUACUUACCUACCUAACUACCUACCUCUCAGUCACUCUACCAUCCUACCUAUCUACUUCCUAACCCAUCCACCUUAUUUCUUCUUACCCACCUUCUUACCUAUCUUUAUACUAUCUUAAUUUCUUCCUUCUACUUACUUAAACUAACCUACCUACCACCCGUAUCCACCUACCCACCCUUUCACCCAUUCACCCGUCGACCCUCACCCUUUGGUCAUCCACUUAUCAUGCGCUGAGGGACGUUACUGAACCUUAAUAGUUUAAUACGCACAAAUCGAGACGAGGCACCGGGAUUAACGAAGAGAGAGAAAGAGAUGAGGCUUGUGGAAUGAAUACGCAAGCAACCCCCUCCGAAGACCACCACCAAACCGAACCGGGAAAGUCUUUGGCAGUUCAGAGGUCAGGGAAGAGGUCAUUGGGUCAUGCUUGGAGUACGUACGUGGGUAAACGGUUGUAAUAGGAGGAGGUAGAGAGAUUGGUAAAGGAGAAAGGCGAGACACUGAAAGGGGGUUAUGUUGGUAAUUAAAAGGGUAGUACAAGAGGAGGAAGAGGAGGAGGAGGUGAAUGUAUAGGAAGUAGAGGAGGUAGAGAGACUAGUAAAGAAGGAGAAUGGCAAGAAUGUAAAGUGGGGCUAUGUUGGUAAGGAAAAGGGUACAAGAGGAAGAGGAAGAGGUGAAAGUAUGGAGUCUAGGAAUGGAGAGGGGUAAAGAAAUAGAAAAGGCGAGGUUGUACUAAGAUAUAUAUAAGGAAGGUAUAAGAGGAAAGAAGGUAAGGAAGAAGGUAUAAGAGAUGAAGGAAGGAGGAGUAGGAGGAGGUGAAUAGAGUAGAAAGAUCGGUUAAGAAAAGAAAAGGCGAAAUACUAAGGGAUAUAAAACUACGAUGGUGAUUGAGAAGAGAGAAAGGAUGAGGAAUAAAGGAAAUACGUGGAAAAACAAACAAGAGAAGGAGAAAGAAGUCACAAAUACGGAAAAAUUCAAGUGAUUAGACGGAACACGCUGAUAGACAGGAAGUGAAGAAUGAGAGAUAAGAAAGAGACGAGAAAUGAGUAUAGAGAUGUGGAAGGAAAACAAUGAAUAAGAGUGAUAUAGAUAAAAACAACAGGAAAAGGAUAUGCGAAUAGAUUAAAAAUAAAGAUGACAGACAAUGGAAGACAAGAGAGAGAAAAAAAGGGAAGGGAAAUUAAAUGGAAUGAAAGGUAAAAAAAA